CAGAACAGCUGCUUCGAACUUUCAACUCGUCAAUCAGCGGUAAAGACCCAUACUUUGUGGUCUCCUAUCUGUGGUGUGCACUUGUGCUUGGUCUACCAGGAAAUGCGAUCACUGGGCUAACUCAGAAAGUGGAAACCAGCAGGUACUUUUGUGAGAAACUUGAGCUGUGGAGCGAAAUCUUCAUCGUUUUCGAGGAAAAUACUCGCCUCUGAUCCAGGACGUGGACUUGGGUAUGUGAACCAUCGCCUGCCAUAACACGCAAGCCAACAGUCGCAGGACGAGUUCAACAGACUCACGUCGGUGUUUAUGGGAUGCGGUAUCGAAGCAAGAGGAAAAUAGUACACAAGAUCAGCUAAGUUAGUAUGGUGAUCGAGCCUAAGCUGACGGAAACACGCAGAGACACUAAUUCUUGAACCAUACGGUGGUGAUUGGAACGCAAGUGUUGGUAAGGCUUCCGGGGAGGAGAGAUGGACUAGAGCAAGUUCCUGAGAUUGUCAGCAUAAAAAUGAGUGGAAUAUCGCGCUUGAAACAGCGAUUUUGAGAUUGCUGUGCGGUGGGUGCUGGGGGUAGUUUCCGGAGUUUUGUCGCGGAAUUGAGAGGGUUGACAGCAGGAGACUACAAGGAAGUGUGUGGGAGAGGCGGAAGUCUGACUCAGACAAUACGGUGAAAGCUGGUGCUCUAGCUGCUGGAGAAGGAUAGGAGAGGAGAGGAGAGUCUCCUGAGGACUUCCAAUGAUGGUGGAUUAAGCGGGAGCAGUCGGGCUUCAACCUCGUGGAGGUAUUUAUUCGUUUGGUUGAUGUGUAAACAUUGAACGUCAAAGGCUCCAGUAGCAUUCUCCGGAAGCAGUUUUUGUGGAAGCUACUGGUGUCACGGUAUUAUCAUGACUAAGUUCCUAUCUGGGCGUUCUAAAAGAUAUACCCUAUUCUAGUUGGGUUUCAGAUGCUUCGAUUGAAUACAUGUUCGCCGCCCUUCAUCCUGAGCUCCUCAUCGUCAAUCUUCAGGUCUGCAUGCAUAGACAUUUUUCAGAGUUUAGGGGUUGUGUUUUGGGGAAAUAGUUUGAGGUUGCCGAGGGGACAUUGAAGGAAGCAGUUGGGAUCUUGAUUGUGAGUUAAGUUUUAGAACGAUGGCGAACUCUUAGCAACAAGGGAAGGAGAUGACUGCAAAGGUAACAAAUGAGCAGUUGCAAGUGGUGGAAGACGUAAUCAACAAUGUUCGAACUGACUUCCAAAGUGAGGGAGUAGAUGACAAAGUUCUGAAUGAGCUACAAAGAGUGAAGACUUAAGUCGUUGAGGAUUCAGGUGAAGGCUUUAGUCUUUGGCUUUGAAAGAUGGCCCUUCAAGUUACUAAUUAUGUGUCUGAAGAAGGUGAACUUCCGAUGUCUUCACAUUAGCGCUCCUUUAGUAUCAGUCCCUUGGGCAAGGGUACCGCUUUUCAAGUGUAGCACUUAGUCCUCAUUCUCCUAGACUGAAUGCGGCAGCAUAUGAUGAAAGGGAGGACGACGGCAAUGGCUGUACUCGUCUUUCCUACACAACUCAUAAUCAACCCCCUGUGCCGAUAGCGAGGCCUUAAAAUGA